AUAUAAUAAUAUAAAAUUAAGAGUUUCGAUACUUUUGAUCUACGUGAUCUAUCGACGGAUGCGCAUUUUUAUAAGAUUUUAUAGACCUAAAAUCGCCAGGACAAAAUUCUUAUUAAUUCUUGUGUUAUGUUUUAAACGGGAAAUCAAAAGUAAUUCAUAUUAUUGAAAAGAACGUUGAAACUUCAGUUAAAAAAUCGCAAAUAAUGAAAUGUGCAGACAGUAUCAACAGCCGGGUGGAUAUGGCCAUGUCCGUUCUUCCGUUUUUAGUCUGUCAGUUUUAAUGCUACAAAUCUGUCCAAAAGUCUUUUUUCCAUUGCAGGUCCCCGCCUGUGACUAACAUGGCCAGAUCAACUCGGCAGUGACCUACUAAAAUCUAUCAGAAAUAUUGUCGGACACGCUUCCCUCCACCUGUUAUCUAUUUCUUAGUGCACUUUUUAGUAAACCGUCUUACUUUUCGAGAAGCGCACAUAAAAAGAAUUAUAAAUAUUAAAUCAAUUUAGAUUAAAGAUGGCAACACACGAUGGGCCUCAGUCAUACUUCUCGCGACUUAAUUCUAUUUCUGAAAGGAUUACCUGCGAUCUAAAUAAAGUUAAAUCUUCACAUAGUCAAAAUGUUUGGCUUGCAUUGACAUUAAACGAACAGGAAAAAAUAUUGAACGACCACUUAAUAGAUCCUAAUAUAUUUUUUAAGUACUGCCAUAAGACUAAAGAAAACUUGGCGGCACAAGAUUCGCAAGUACAUUCUAAACUUAGUAAUAACGAUUACCGUCAAUUUUGUUACGGAGACUUUAUAUAUUUAUAUAACGGCCAAGAUUUGCACACAUAUAAUUAUCAACACGUUGGCUUAAAAAUAUUACGCGAUGAAAACACCGGCGAUUU